UCGUAACUUGGAUGGCUUCGAAUGUACCGAAUUGGGGAAAAAUUCAUCUUUCAGUGUGAAUUUUGUUGUCCUCUGGUAUUCGAGCCAACAAGUUCGU
rnacentral:pre_miRNA from 1 species